rnacentral:lncRNA from 1 species
GCAAGGAUGGGACAUCGGUUUCGCCCUCUGUGCUCUCUGCGUCCUGCUCGGGAUGCUCAUCUGGAUUGCCGGGUUCCCAUUCUACCGCAAUCAGCUCCCUGGUGGAAGUGCCAUCACCAGAAUGCUUCAGGUAUGUAUGCUUGUUUAUCAAGCCAGACUAGAAAUUUUGCGAAGAAUUGAGUAAGUUGUUUUCAACAGGUUCUCGUGGUGGCAUUCAAGAAAAGGAAUGUUGAGUUACCCAAGGACACAAGUGAACUGAAACAGAUGAACCAAGAUGACAGCAAUAAUGGGCUUGAAAAGCUGGAAAGAACAGUGGGCUUUCAGUAAGUAGAAAAAUCUAAGAAUUCUACAGCCCCACUAAAAUUGGAGUACCUUAAUUUCUGCUCUGUGAAUUUCCUUUCAGGUGCCUUGAGAAAUCUGCCAUAGACACUGGAGAGACGGGGCCAUGGUCGCUGUGCACGGUGACCCAGGUGGAGGAGACCAAGAUCGUGCUCCGCAUGGUGCCCAUAUUCCUCAGUGCCAUCCUCGGCUACAUCCCAGUGCCACUGAUCCUCAACUUCACAGUGCAGCAAGGGAACACCAUGGACACCAAGCUCGGCGCCAUCCACAUCUCCCCUGCCACGCUCUUCCUCAUCCCAACUGUCUUCCAGAUGGUCAUCCUGGUCCUCUACGACCGCUUCAUCGUCCCUUUCCUGCGCAGGAUCACCGGAUACGUUGGUGGCGUCACGCACCUCCAGCGCAUCGGCAUCGGGUUCCUCUCGGCCACCCUCGCCACCGGCGUCGCCGCCCUUGUUGAGACCAAGAGGAAGAGGGUCGCAGAGGAGAAUGGUCUCAUGGACGCUGCCACAGGGAUCCCUAUCUCUGUCUUCUGGUUGACCGUGCAGUUCUUCCUCCUCGGGGUCGUUGACGUCACCUCCUUCGUGGGGCUUCUCGAGUUCUUCUACAGCGAGGCGUCGACGGGGAUGAAGUCCGUAGGGAGCUCCAUCUUCUACUGCAUCCUUGGGGUGUCAGCUUGGCUGGGGAGCUUGCUCAUCCAGGUGACGAACCAGGUCACGAGGCGUGGCGGCAGCGGGGCGGCGGCGGCGGCAACAGGGUGGCUGGAUGGGACGAACUUGAACAUGGGCAAGCUUGAUAGGUUCUAUUGGCUGCUUGCUGUUCUGGAGCUGGUGGCAUUCUUCAUUUACAUGUUCUUCGCGUGGAGGUAUGAGUAUAGGAAUAACCAAAGGGUUGUGGACAAUACAGGAGAUACCAAGGCUCCAUUGGCACCCGAAGGCGCUGCCGGUGAUCUGAUCAUCUAGAUGUGUGCUACUCUUAUUGACCCUUUCUUUGACGAGGCUUUUACGUUGUUCUUAAAUUACUUAAGUAACGUAUUACAUCCUGUACUAUUGUAAUAUUUGGUUAGGGAAUGAGUGCUCUAUUCAAAUUUAUUGCUUCUGGUCGAUUUAUAUGUUUCUGUAGACCCAAUAUGUGAACAUUAUUGUUUGAUAUUGUGGUAUUUUCUUGCCCUGAAGAAACAUUAUUCCAAUGUUUUUAUCAAGAUCGAUCAAACUAAGAAUUCACGUUUUGUUUUGCGUAUUUAUUUCUAAUGUAAAAAUAUAGCUAUUUACGUAACCAAAAAGAAUAUUCUUGUGAAAUUUAUAUGAGGUCGACAAUAUUCCUUUUUUGCUUGGGUCCAUCUAUAGCCCAGUUGCCUGAGAUUUUCAGAAAUUUCAGUCACUUUCCAGCCAGCCAUCCAUCGCCUAUCCUAAGGCUAAAAAACCCUCCGAUGAAGGCCAAUAAAACAUUCCUAAAGAAUAUGAAAAGGAGUAAGCAUUUAUACACUAUUCAGAUUAUAUUUAGCAUUGUAGGUAUCAAAGAAAAGGCAACAAACAGAUCAUGGCAAUGUCAAUUGACACACUAGCUACAGGACAAAACAUCAUGCACAUUUUGUAAAAUAGUAAAAUAAUUAUACCCAUGUAAAGACAUCGGAUAAAGUAUGCUCAGAGGGAGCAUGCCUUCGUUGACAAAUUCAUCUUCUUCAUCUUCCUAUCAUUGUCCCAACUUAUCACUUCCUACUCGUUAUAACGAUAAGAAAAAACCAACAAAAUUAAUAGAACCAAGAGCAUGGCAUGUACAUCACACCACAAGCGUAAGAUAUAAUACAACCUAUAACUUCUCAACGAAGCAAGCCAAACACACCUCAAUGAAGCAUGCCAUUAGAAAAUUACUAAAUUUCUACUAAAACUUUCAUUGAAUAUUGGAAUAAAUAAGACUAAAUUAUAGCAAAAACAUUUAAACUACAAAUAAAAAAGUAUAUAAGCCUAUUCUAUGCAAUAUAAGUAAUGAAUAUAUGCAUACACCAUAGCAUGGUAUAUGAACAGUAUAAAAGCACGAAAACAAUUUAAAUAUUCCACUAGAAUAGCACAACAUAAAACAUGG